rnacentral:lncRNA from 1 species
AAGGGUUGCAGAGAGAAAAGCUUGAAGCUUAAAGAUUCGUCGGAUUAACUCAGGUAAGGGGGGUUUAUCGUCGAUUAACGGGUAUUAUGGGAUAAUAUGUAAUGGGUAGUAGUAGACCAUCAAUUUGUCCCUGAUUAGAAUGAUGCAUGAUGAAUUUGUGAAAUAUUGGAUGAAUAAAAAAUUGGUUUAUGAUCGAAAGGAAGUCGUAGGAAUUAGACGUAAAAAUGUUAGAAUUGGUGAAAUCGAAUAGGGGAGAAUUCGUGUUAGGUGAUAUGAACGAUUAUUGUGUAAAAUUGGACUGUGGAAGGUUGGAAUUGGGAGAUCUCGUAGCAGAGGACACCAUUGCAGAUCC